CUUUCCCUCUUUCUUCAGGCCUAACACAUGCAAGUCGAACGGUAACAGGAAGACGCUUGCUUCUUUGCUGACGAGUGGCGGACGGGUGAGUAAUGUCUGGGAAACUGCCUGAUGGAGGGGGAUAACUACUGGAAACGGUAGCUAAUACCGCAUAACGUCGCAAGACCAAAGAGGGGGACCUUCGGGCCUCUUGCCAUCGGAUGUGCCCAGAUGGGAUUAGCUAGUAGGUGGGGUAACGGCUCACCUAGGCGACGAUCCCUAGCUGGUCUGAGAGGAUGACCAGCCACACUGGAACUGAGACACGGUCCAGACUCCUACGGGAGGCAGCAGUGGGGAAUAUUGCACAAUGGGCGCAAGCCUGAUGCAGCCAUGCCGCGUGUAUGAAGAAGGCCUUCGGGUUGUAAAGUACUUUCAGCGGGGAGGAAGGGAGUAAAGUUAAUACCUUUGCUCAUUGACGUUACCCGCAGAAGAAGCACCGGCUAACUCCGUG
rnacentral:rRNA from 1 species